AACGCACGAGACCUGCGGACCUGCGGAAGGAUCAUUACAGAGUUGAAAAACUCCCAAACCCUUGUGAACAUACCUAACGUUGCUUCGGCGGUGCGGCCCUAGGCCGCUGCCUCCCUGUGAGGCGCCCGCCGGAGGUUUACAAACUCUAUGUAUUAUAUUGUCUUCUCUGAGUUGUCUUUUAAAUAAGUCAAAACUUUCAACAAUGGAUCUCU
rnacentral:misc_RNA from 1 species